rnacentral:tRNA from 1 species
GGUGGAGUAUCCAAGUGGUCAAAGGACGUUGACUGUAAAUCAAUUCGGCUCUUGCCGUUCACUGGUUCGACUCCAGUCUCCACCACCA